AUUCCAGCUCCAAUAGCGUAUAUUAAAGUUGUUGCAGUUAAAAAGCUCGUAGUUGAAUUUCUGGUGGGAGUGUACAGUCCGACACUGAGUGUUGGUUCUUGUGUGUCUCCGGCCAUCCUUGGAGUGAAUCUGUCUGGCAUUUAGUUGUUGGGCAGAGUAUCUCCAUCGUUUACUGUGAGGAAAGGAAAGUGUUCAAAGCAGGCUUACGCCGUUGAAUCUUUUAGCAUGGAAUAAUAGAAUAGGAUGUCGAUCCUAUUUUGUUGGUUUUCGGGACUCGACAUAAUGAUAAAUAGGGACAGUCGGGGGCAUUUGUAUUCAAACGACAGAGGUGAAAUUCUUGGACCGUUUGAAGGCAAACUACUGCGAAAGCAUUUGCCAAGAAUGUUUUCAUCG
rnacentral:rRNA from 1 species